rnacentral:rRNA from 1 species
AUACGGAGGGUGCAAGCGUUAUUCGGAAUCACUGGGCGUAAAGGACGCGUAGGCGGGAAGCCAAGUCUGAUGUGAAAUCCUAUGGCUCAACCAUAGAACUGCAUUGGAAACUGGCUACCUAGAGUAUGGGAGGGGGAGAUGGAAUUAGUGGUGUAGGGGUAAAAUCCGUAGAUAUCACUAGGAAUACCGAAAGCGAAGGCGAUCUCCUGGAACAAUACUGACGCUAAGGCGUGAAAGCGUGGGGAGCAAACGGGAUUAGAAACCCUAGUAGUCC